AUCACAUUACACAGGAAAUUAUUAUUGAAUUUAGAUAUAAGUUAGCUGCCAUACUACUAUGCUGGAAAACAAACACGGCACAAGCGAGUGCAACGAUUGAAGAAAGAAAGUCUGGGUACAAAGCUCUGGCCCAUAUCCAAUUAGCUUGACUCUCAAAAGGCUGC